rnacentral:piRNA from 1 species
AAUGGAAAUUGUAAAAAAUAGUG